rnacentral:snRNA from 1 species
GAAUGUGAGGGUGAUCUGGCUGGGACAUGUGUCAGCCCAGUGAUUGCCAAGAUUGACCAGGCUGAUCUGGCUGGUGAAGUGUGUGUCCCCUUCUUCCCUCACUCCUCCAUAUGAGUCCCUCCUGAAGCUGCUCCAUUCAAGAGGACAACCACCCCCAAUGGUCCACAGUCAAGGGUACACAAGUAGCUGCUUUCCCCUGCUAGAACCUCCAAACAAGCUCUCAAAAAUCCAGAACUGAGCUUUUGUACUUUGAGGCUAGGUCAAAGGAGAUAAUUACAUUGUGAUAAUUUUACCCUGGGUU